rnacentral:rRNA from 1 species
UACGAAGGGGGCUAGCGUUGCUCGGAAUCACUGGGCGUAAAGCGCACGUAGGCGGAUUGUUAAGUCAGGGGUGAAAUCCUGGAGCUCAACUCCAGAACUGCCUUUGAUACUGGCGAUCUUGAGUCCGGGAGAGGUGAGUGGAACUGCGAGUGUAGAGGUGAAAUUCGUAGAUAUUCGCAAGAACACCAGUGGCGAAGGCGGACUUCCUGGCCUGUUCUUGACGCUGAGGCGCGAAAGCUAGGGGAGCAACGGGGAUUAAGAAACCCC